rnacentral:lncRNA from 10 species
CCGGCCGCGGCGCCGCGCGGCACCGGGGUGGGCCGCCACCGAGGCUCAGGCGCCCGUCCUGGGUUUCCUCCCACGCGUGGUGAUGCUGAAAGGGUCCGCGAGGGAAGGCUGAAAUGAACCAACAUCAGCAGAGGCCGCGGCAGAGUGAGAGAGCUGCCCAUGCUGGGAGAAGCCCUGGUCUUUGUCUCCACAAAUGCUGAAACUGACAGUGUUUCUCCCAGAGUCCAAGUCUCCAUUAGCCAAGCCAAGAGCAGAGGAAAUGUUCUCCACUGUGUGUGGUUCCAGGAGGAAAGAAGAACUGUCGACACCAGAAAAUUUCCUGCUGGAAUUCUGCCAAAGAAUAGCUGGCCGUCCUAGGGAGGUCCAUCAUUACGGAACUUUGCUGUUUGUAAAUUUAAUAAACGACUCACAUCUGCUUAUAAUAUCAUGGAAGUCUAUGUGAAAAGUACUUCUUAUAUAAAGCACAUGGCUU